rnacentral:lncRNA from 1 species
AUUACAUACCAAAUGAAGCUGAUAUAUGUCAUAAGUGCAAAAAUGGGGAAAAUUAAAAACGUGAUGAACAAAUGAUACAAGCUUAAAGUGGUCGAAAUCUGUAGGCUCUGAUCGAAGAUGUCGUGGUACCAAUCGCGCCGGAAAGUCCAAAUCGAAGAUCCCAAGUCAGCUGAUGACGGCGAGGAUAACACAAUCUCGCUUCGAAAAACCUUAGUUACCUUGAACCAGUAGCCUAUUUAGUUGGACAGAAGGGAAGAAUAG